GGAAGUAAAAGUCGUAACAAAGUUUCCGUAGGUGAACCUGCGGAAGGAUCAUUAAAGUUAUAGUCCCCCGGCCCUCUGGGCUGGGGUCUUCUAUACCACCCUUUGUUUAUUACACCUUUGUUGCUUUGGCAGGCCUGCCCUCGGGCUGCUGGCUCCGGCCGGCUCGCGUCUGCCAGAGGACCUAAACUCUGUUUGUAUAUGAAGUCUGAGUACUAUAUAAUAGUUAAAACUUUCAACAACGGAUCUCUUGGUUCUG
rnacentral:misc_RNA from 1 species